GACGAACGCUGGCGGCGUGCCUAAUACAUGCAAGUCGAACGCUGAAGGAGGAGCUUGCUCUUCUGGAUGAGUUGCGAACGGGUGAGUAACGCGUAGGUAACCUGCCUGGUAGCGGGGGAUAACUAUUGGAAACGAUAGCUAAUACCGCAUAACAGUAGAUGUUGCAUGACAUUUGCUUAAAAGGUGCAAUUGCACCACUACCAGAUGGACCUGCGUUGUAUUAGCUAGUUGGUGGGGUAACGGCUCACCAAGGCGACGAUACAUAGCCGACCUGAGAGGGUGAUCGGCCACACUGGGACUGAGACACGGCCCAGACUCCUACGGGAGGCAGCAGUAGGGAAUCUUCGGCAAUGGACGGAAGUCUGACCGAGCAACGCCGCGUGAGUGAAGAAGGGUUUCGGAUCGUAAAGCUCUGUUGUAAGAGAAGAACGAGUGUGAGAGUGGAAAGUUCACACUGUGACGGUAGCUUACCAGAAAGGGACGGCUAACUACGUG
rnacentral:rRNA from 1 species